AUUGAACGCUGACGGCAUGCUUUACACAUGCAAGUCGAACGGUAACAGGCCGCAAGGUGCUGACGAGUGGCGAACGGGUGAGUAAUGCAUCGGAACGUGCCCAGUCGUGGGGGAUAACGCAGCGAAAGCUGUGCUAAUACCGCAUACGAUCUAUGGAUGAAAGCGGGGGACCGUAAGGCCUCGCGCGAUUGGAGCGGCCGAUGUCAGAUUAGGCAGUUGGUGGGGUAAAGGCCUACCAAGCCGACGAUCUGUAGCUGGUCUGAGAGGACGACCAGCCACACUGGGACUGAGACACGGCCCAGACUCCUACGGGAGGCAGCAGUGGGGAAUUUUGGACAAUGGGCGCAAGCCUGAUCCAGCAAUGCCGCGUGCAGGAAGAAGGCCUUCGGGUUGUAAACUGCUUUUGUACGGAACGAAACGACCUGGGUUAAUACCCUGGGCUAAUGACGGUACCGUAAGGAUAAGCACCGACUAACUACGUGCCAGCCGCCGCCGUAACAC
rnacentral:rRNA from 1 species